GAUGAACGCUGGCGGCGUGCCUAAUACAUGCAAGUCGAGCGAACAGACGAGGAGCUUGCUCCUCUGACGUUAGCGGCGGACGGGUGAGUAACACGUGGAUAACCUACCUAUAAGACUGGGAUAACUUCGGGAAACCGGAGCUAAUACCGGAUAAUAUAUUGAACCGCAUGGUUCAAUAGUGAAAGACGGUUUUGCUGUCACUUAUAGAUGGAUCCGCGCCGCAUUAGCUAGUUGGUAAGGUAACGGCUUACCAAGGCAACGAUGCGUAGCCGACCUGAGAGGGUGAUCGGCCACACUGGAACUGAGACACGGUCCAGACUCCUACGGGAGGCAGCAGUAGGGAAUCUUCCGCAAUGGGCGAAAGCCUGACGGAGCAACGCCGCGUGAGUGAUGAAGGUCUUCGGAUCGUAAAACUCUGCUAUUAGGGAAGAACAAAUGUGUAAGUAACUAUGCACGUCUUGACGGUACCUAAUCAGAAGGCCACGGCUAACUACGUG
rnacentral:rRNA from 1 species